rnacentral:rRNA from 1 species
GACGAACGCUGGCGGCGUGCUUAACACAUGCAAGUCGAACGGUGAACCCUGCUUGCGGGGGGAUCAGUGGCGAACGGGUGAGUAACACGUGGGCAACCUGCCCCCGGCUCUGGGAUAACUCCAAGAAAUUGGGGCUAAUACCGGAUGUGACCGCUGACCGCAUGGUCUGGUGGUGGAAAGAUUUAUCGGCUGGGGAUGGGCCCGCGGCCUAUCAGCUUGUUGGUGGGGUGAUGGCCUACCAAGGCGACGACGGGUAGCCGGCCUGAGAGGGUGACCGGCCACACUGGGACUGAGACACGGCCCAGACUCCUACGGGAGGCAGCAGUGGGGAAUAUUGCGCAAUGGGCGGAAGCCUGACGCAGCGACGCCGCGUGGGGGAUGACGGCCUUCGGGUUGUAAACCUCUUUCAGCAGGGACGAAGCCUUUUCGGUGACGGUACCUGCAGAAGAAGCACCGGCCAACUACGUG